rnacentral:lncRNA from 1 species
GGGGUAAGGAGACCAGCAAGGGAUAUUGAGGCACCCAGGGCUAAACUUAGAGGGAAGCUGUCAUCACCCUAGGGCCUGAGGAGGAAGGGGAGAAAAUACUGUUUGGGGGGCCUGGUGGGAGCUGUAGCUGGGAGGAGGACCAUGAGGGAGAAACCAUAGUCAUGGAAGGAUGUUGUCACUGCCAGGACCAAGGCACCAAGGACCACCCACCGCCCCAUUCUUGUAU